UCAUCAUCGUUGCAUCUCUUCAACGUCGAAUCUAGGUUGACGCCAUUGGUUGUAGAAAUGGAAUAUCGGCUCUUAUAGAUCAUCUUAGUGAGGUUAUCAAAGUUGAAGCAGAAAACAACGCAGAGGCUAAUUUUCAAAUUUCGUGAAAAAUCAAUUGCUGGAUAUCGCGUUGCCUUUCUAAAUUUUUUAUUGGUGUUAUCAAUUUUUCAAAUCAUUGGCAAGUUGCACGUUGGAGGCAGGCGUGAAGAUUUGAUGCGGUGCACUCGGAGGCAUAUAAGGUCUUGGGUGGGAUCAAUCGAGCUGGCAUAGAAGAUGAACACCGUUGGCCGAGGGCUAUAGUUAAUGUUCAAUCACAAUUUGGUUCCCAUUUGCUUUCACGUAGUCAAUUCAUGUAUCUACUAAUCAAGGUUAGUUGUAGUCAAGUAAAAUGGUAACUUGGUCAUUAAGAGUAUUGCAUAACUGCAAUUUGUAUUAAAGGGCCAUUUGAACAGUAAAAGUAUUUUAUCUUA